rnacentral:rRNA from 1 species
UGAACGUUACCAAACUGUUGCCUCGGCGGGGUCACGCCCCGGGUGCGUCGCAGCCCCGGAACCAGGCGCCCGCCGGAGGAACCAACCAAACUCUUUCUGUAGUCCCCUCGCGGACGUAUUUCUUACAGCUCUGAGCAAAAAUUCAAAAUGAAUCAAAACUUUCAACAACGGAUCUCUUGGUUCUGGCAUCGAUGAAGAACGCAGCGAAAUGCGAUAAGUAAUGUGAAUUGCAGAAUUCAGUGAAUCAUCGAAUCUUUGAACGCACAUUGCGCCCGCCAGUAUUCUGGCGGGCAUGCCUGUCCGAGCGUCAUUUCAACCCUCGAACCCCUCCGGGGGAUCGGCGUUGGGGAUCGGGACCCCUCACACGGGUGCCGGCCCCGAAAUACAGUGGCGGUCUCGCCGCAGCCUCUCCUGCGCAGUAGUUUGCACAACUCGCACCGGGAGCGCGGCGCGUCCACGUCCGUAAAACACCCAACUUUCUGAAAUGUUGACCUCGGAUCAGGUAGGAAUACCCGCUGAACUUAAG